AGCGUUUGACAUCUGUCUUUGAUCUUUGUCCCAUAUCCUUCGGCCCUUACUAUAUUUGCUUUCGGAACAGAUAGGUUCAUCCGCAACUCAUCAAAGUCGUCGUUCCGGUCGGCCUUUGGGCAGGCUCUUGCUCCUACAAGCCCCGGUCCAUUCCGGUCUUUCAUCCUCUUCCAGUCGAACGACAGGGUUUUCAGCCGACUCGAUGGGCGUGACGCUUGCGACACCCUCCCGUUAUUUCUCAUUAAUGAUCGUGCCUCCGUUACACACCACUGCUGAGGGGAUCCCGUCUCCCAUCUCACUUUGAUCUCGUCUCAGUCAGCCGAUCGAACAGCCUUAGGCUUUGGUUCCUCAGCCAAUAAUUACUACAAGUACUACAUAUAAUCAUUGCUUAGAAUCGUACACUUAUGAGGAUAAACUGAUUGGAGUUUGAUUACGUAGCGUUCUGCGUACAUAUUACAAAUGUUGUAGAAACAACAAAAAACCUGGCAACCAGCGAUACUGUACAUCGAUGACAGUUCAUAACUCGGUUUCAUAUAUUUACAUCAACCAUCGUGGAAUCAAACGACAGCACGCUCGACCGAGACGGCAACCAUUAUGCCACCCGGGACUACUCCUGGAGUAGAGUCAAAUCUAUCUAGGUCGUUGAAAUAACUCCCAUCCAAUGUAUCAUCAUUUGCGAUUG
rnacentral:sRNA from 1 species